rnacentral:rRNA from 1 species
AGAGUUUGAUCAUGGCUCAGAUUGAACGCUGGCGGCAUGCCUUACACAUGCAAGUCGAACGGCAGCACGAGAGCUUGCUCUUGGUGGCGAGUGGCGAACGGGUGAGUAAUAUAUCGGAACGUACCCUAGAGUGGGGGAUAACGUAGCGAAAGUUACGCUAAUACCGCAUACGAUCUACGGAUGAAAGUGGGGGAUCGCAAGACCUCAUGCUCAUGGAGCGGCCGAUAUCUGAUUAGCUAGUUGGUGGGGUAAAAGCUCACCAAGGCGACGAUCAGUAGCUGGUCUGAGAGGACGACCAGCCACACUGGAACUGAGACACGGUCCAGACUCCUACGGGAGGCAGCAGUGGGGAAUUUUGGACAAUGGGCGCAAGCCUGAUCCAGCAAUGCCGCGUGAGUGAAGAAGGCCUUCGGGUUGUAAAGCUCUUUUGUCAGGGAAGAAACGGUGGACUCUAAUACAGAUCACUAAUGACGGUACCUGAAGAAUAAGCACCGGCUAACUACGUGCCAGCAGCCGCGGUAAUACGUAGGGUGCAAGCGUUAAUCGGAAUUACUGGGCGUAAAGCGUGCGCAGGCGGUUGUGCAAGACAGAUGUGAAAUCCCCGGGCUCAACCUGGGAAUUGCAUUUGUGACUGCACGGCUAGAGUGUGUCAGAGGGGGGUAGAAUUCCACGUGUAGCAGUGAAAUGCGUAGAGAUGUGGAGGAAUACCGAUGGCGAAGGCAGCCCCCUGGGAUAACACUGACGCUCAUGCACGAAAGCGUGGGGAGCAAACAGGAUUAGAUACCCUGGUAGUCCACGCCCUAAACGAUGUCUACUAGUUGUCGGGUCUUAAUUGACUUGGUAACGCAGCUAACGCGUGAAGUAGACCGCCUGGGGAGUACGGUCGCAAGAUUAAAACUCAAAGGAAUUGACGGGGACCCGCACAAGCGGUGGAUGAUGUGGAUUAAUUCGAUGCAACGCGAAAAACCUUACCUACCCUUGACAUGUCUGGAAUCCUUGAGAGAUCAGGGAGUGCUCGAAAGAGAAUCAGAACACAGGUGCUGCAUGGCUGUCGUCAGCUCGUGUCGUGAGAUGUUGGGUUAAGUCCCGCAACGAGCGCAACCCUUGUCAUUAGUUGCUACGAAAGGGCACUCUAAUGAGACUGCCGGUGACAAACCGGAGGAAGGUGGGGAUGACGUCAAGUCCUCAUGGCCCUUAUGGGUAGGGCUUCACACGUCAUACAAUGGUACAUACAGAGGGCCGCCAACCCGCGAGGGGGAGCUAAUCCCAGAAAGUGUAUCGUAGUCCGGAUUGUAGUCUGCAACUCGACUACAUGAAGUUGGAAUCGCUAGUAAUCGCGGAUCGGCAUGUCGCGGUGAAUACGUUCCCGGGUCUUGUACACACCGCCCGUCACACCAUGGGAGCGGGUUUCACCAGAAGUGGGUAGCCUAACCGCAAGGAGGGCGCUCACCACGGUGGGAUUCGUGACUGGGGUGAAGUCGUAACAAGGUA